AGGACGAACGCUGGCGGCGUGCUUAACACAUGCAAGUCGAGCGGUAAGGCCUCCUUCGGGGGGUACACGAGCGGCGAACGGGUGAGUAACACGUGAGCAAUCUGCCCUUCACAUCGGGAUAACCCCCGGAAACGGGAGCUAAUACCGGAUACGACCACUUCAGGCAUCUGAUGGUGGUGGAAAGUUCCGGCGGUGAAGGAUGAGCUCGCGGCCUAUCAGCUAGUUGGUGAGGUAAUGGCCCACCAAGGCUUCGACGGGUAGCCGGCCUGAGAGGGUGACCGGCCACACUGGGACUGAGACACGGCCCAGACUCCUACGGGAGGCAGCAGUGGGGAAUAUUGGACAAUGGGCGAAAGCCUGAUCCAGCAACGCCGCGUGAGGGAUGACGGCCUUCGGGUUGUAAACCUCUUUCAGCGCAGACGAAGCGAAAGUGACGGUAUGCGCAGAAGAAGCACCGGCCAACUACGUGCCAGCAGCCGC
rnacentral:rRNA from 1 species